CAAUAGCGUAUAUUAACGUUGUUGCAGUUAAAAAGCUCGUAGUUGGAUUUCUGGAGGGAGCGUCGGCCCGUAUUUACGAGUGCGUGACGUCUCUGUCCAUCCUUGCGGGAAGGCACGGCAUUGAUUUGUUGUGUGGGAUCGCAUCAUUUACUGUGAAAAAAUUAGAGUGUUCAAAGCAGGCUUUCGCUUGAAUACAUUAGCAUGGAAUAAUAAGAUAGGACUUUGGUGCUAUUUUGUUGGUUGAGCCUAAAGUAAUGAUUAAUAGGGAUAGUUGGGGGCACCUGUAUUGCGUUGUCAGAGGUGAAAUUCUUGGAUUUACGCAAGACAAACAGCUGCGAAAGCGUCUGCCAAGGAUGUUUUCAUUAA
rnacentral:rRNA from 1 species